CGUCAACCUAUCUUCCCGUCAUCCCGCGCGGGUCCAACUGGGCCGAAGCCCAACUAACUCGAGUGGGACGGAACCCUACGCACCCGAUACCCUCGCUCGGUCGCUCCUCACCCUGCCUCUCUCCCUUCACUGUCUCCUCCCUUUCGAGUACCAGCCGCCACCGCUGCCGGCCCAGCGCAACCAUCGCUCUCACGCGACUGCCCCGCCAGCGCCGCCCUUGCCACACCCCUUCGCCUGCGCCAACUACCGGCGCCAGUCAGCGCCUCGCUCGGCCUCCGCUCGCCAACGCUCCCAACCCACGUGCCCCGUCCCCGAGCGGCCCCGCCAUGGCGGACGAGGUGAACCUCCCCGCCGCGGAGGUGGGAAGAAGGCCGUGCAUCCGUCCGAUUCACCCAAGACACCAGUGAAUCGAGGCCUCCUUGGUGUCCUUGGGCUCCUUUAGCCGCCGGCAGCCCCACUCCCCAGCCUCAUACGCCAUGCUCCUGCCCGACGUUCAGCCUUCAGCGUCGCGCUAGGAGGAGAGGUCGUCGGCGGCCGAUGCAGAGUCCCACGAGCUAUCGGACUGGAUCCCGGAGGCUGUCGAGCUGGGCAUCUCUGCGCCAGCGCCCAGCCCACGACCCGUUGGGAUCCCUUCUCAGACAUCCUCUUUCUUGCCAUGAUCUGGCCCGCGCUCAACUGGGUUGGCACCGGGCUGCUGGUCGUCGCCGGCGAAUCGGGCGCUGAGGCUCCCGUAUGGCGAAGCUGCUGCGCAUGUCCUCGAUCUACGCGGAUGGCUGCUAGCUCCGAGAGGUCAUGGGCACCAUGUCCAUGGUCGAGGCCGUCAGACCUGAUUAGUUUCAAGGCCGCCUCUGGCUCCGCAUCCAUCCACCACGCCACUUCACCACCAAUGCAUGAUGGAUCCGACCGCUGCUCAGACCAGGAGCUUUUCGACCGGAUCUGCAGCGCCAUAAAAUUCAACGAGGAUGAGGUAAUCAUUUAUUUCGUCCAAGCUUCUACAUUUGAGCAAAGACAUGCGCACCUCAGCGGAGAGACAGUAAAGACGUGGGAGCUAUUCUUAGAAUUAGUAGCAGUACCUUCUUGUCUUAGUAGAAGGAGAGAAGCAACUAAAAGUGUAUAUAUCUUAUUUCCGUUUUAAGUGCAUGUCUAUUUUGUCUUUUUGUUUACUAUCACAACGAAAUAAUCAGUUCGAAUGAUAACUUUGACAUAUCUCAGUGAUUCAUAAUGCAAGAAACAGACGAUGAGCAUGACCAAGUUUCUUAUGAUGAAAGCAGAUUAGGUUCUUAAAUAUUCUGAUUGAUGUGUAAUACUUCUACACAAUUAUCAAUUAUUUACUUGAUGUGCCAUAAACUAUAUGCCCACACUGGAUCUUUGAUAGCAUUUGAUCUGGGAUGGUUUAAUUGAAAAAUCUGAAGCUUACAGGAAAGGAUUUUAAUAAAUUAUGACCUAUUCUGAAAAGAAUUAUGUUUGUUUCGCCUUACCAUUUUGCUUCAGGCUCGAAAUGAAACAAUAACAUCAAGACGAGUUUUUUAAUCAGCUGUUGGUUGGGUGAUCUACCCGCAGCAAAUGAGAACCUGGUGUGAACAGGAGGCAGCGAGAGAUUGAAAGGGGAAGAUAGUGUGAGCGAGGAGGAAGAGAGAACCACGGUGGUGCGCGCAUCUCCGAGUGGCCCUUGCGAUCGGAAAACCACAUCACAGAGUCAUCUUCCAAGCUUAUCUCCGCGAAACGCCAACCUCCAUAGAAAAGUAAGACUAGAAGAAGAUCUGGGAGGACUUCCGCACCUAGACUGAUGUUUAGAGCCGUAGGACAUCCAGGAGCUCUCGAGUGAGCAACCAAAUAUCACUGUGUGCAUCGAGCCCCUUCUCUGCUCCCGAGCGCAGACGGUGAACGCUGGCGGCGGCCAUGCCCCUUGUCCUCGUCCUUCUCCGUAAAGGCAGGCCAUGGCUGCUGCUACACAGCACGACGCCGGCAAGGAGGAGAACGCUCGAAGAAGGGGCAGCGCCUCAAUCUUUGGUUCCUCUUCGUCAUGCACAACAGCCGUCCCAGCUCCACUCCUCCACCCAUCGUUGUUCAUUGCUCAAAAGGGGGAGCACGGGCAGCUCUGUAGCCUUUGCUCCCUCUGUAUCUCCUUGGUUAUGAACAAGCAGAAUGCUUUUUUAAUCCAUGCCUAUGAGGUGCUUGAUGAAACUUCAAGUAGGGCUAGCUUGGAGAUUGAGGCACUGAUAUGCGGAUCGCGGCCUGCAACGUGGUCAUGUUUGGCCACACGAAGUGCAUUGUCGAUGGCUGCGUCGACUAGGACAGUCUGCGGGAAAUGCUUGGUGUGGUCCUAUCAUGGGUGACUGUUGUGAUAUUCAGUUUUUCUAUGCUUUUCUAUCCCGUCUCAUGGGUAGCAAGAGGAUUGAAGUCUAGAGAAUAGAGAAAAAUAGAGAAAACCUCACUCGGACUAAGCCCUGAAAUUGGGAAGGUCAAAGAUUGGACUUGUUCAGAGCUUCAGCAGCCAAUUUGAAUGACUUCAGAACUCUUCCCCUAUUUUAAAUCUGAUAUAUUUUACUUCAUACAAAAUCUUGAUGAUGUUAUUUACAAUUUAUAAUAGGUUUAUCAUCUUGAUUUACUAGGAUUUAGAAGGAGCUCCUCACAUGUGCUAAGAUUAUGUCACUGGGGAUAAAAUGGAAGCAGUAGCAUAUGGGCAGCAAGCACAUCGUUACAACAAUGAGCUGUGGGCCGUGGGUGGAGAGGGCUGGUGCCGUGGGAUUCUGGCUAAACAGGACAUGAGAGAUAGGGAAGAGAAUAACAGAGAGAUGAUGAGAGAGUGGUGCAACGACGCUGCACUACUGAUAUGUGGUGCUACUGCUAUGUUUUCCAUGAUCAGACUGUAGUUUUAUUUCAGUGCUACACGGCGAUUUUAUUUCAGCUGUCAAAUUUUAUCUGGACUAUGCCUGCCAUUCUUCA